AACGAACGCUGGCGGCAGGCCUAACACAUGCAAGUCGAACGCCCCGCAAGGGGAGUGGCAGACGGGUGAGUAACGCGUGGGAACCUACCCAGUGGUACGGAACAACCCAGGGAAACUUGGGCUAAUACCGUAUACGCCCCUAGGGGGAAAGAUUUAUCGCCAUUGGACGGGCCCGCGUUGGAUUAGCUAGUUGGUGGGGUAAUGGUCUACCAAGGCAACGAUCCAUAGCUGGUCUGAGAGGAUGAUCAGCCACACUGGGACUGAGACACGGCCCAGACUCCUACGGGAGGCAGCAGUGGGGAAUCUUGGACAAUGGGCGCAAGCCUGAUCCAGCCAUGCCGCGUGAGUGAAGAAGGCCCUAGGGUUGUAAAGCUCUAUCGGCGGGGACGAUAAUGACGGUACCCGCAGAAGAAGCCCCGGCUAACUCCGUGCCAGCAGCCGCAGUAACAC
rnacentral:rRNA from 1 species